rnacentral:rRNA from 1 species
UACGUAGGGGCCGAGCGUUGUCCGGAGUUAUUGGGCGUAAAGCGCGCGCAGGCGGCCUCGCGCGCCCGACGUGAAAGCCCCCGGCUUAACCGGGGAGGGUCGUUGGGGACGGCGGGGCUUGAGGGCGGGAGAGGGUGGUGGAAUUCCCGGUGUAGUGGUGAAAUGCGUAGAGAUGUGGAGGAACACCAGUGGCGAAGGCGGCUCUUUGGUCUGUAACUGACGCUGAGGCGCGAAAGCGUGGGGAGCAAACAGG